UACGGGGGGAGCAAGCGUUGUUCGGAUUUACUGGGCGUAAAGGGCGCGUAGGCGGCCAGCACAAGUCAGUUGUGAAAUCUCCGAGCUUAACUCGGAACGGUCAACUGAUACUGUGCGGCUAGAGUGCGGAAGGGGCAACUGGAAUUCUUGGUGUAGCGGUGAAAUGACGUAGAUAUCAGGAGGAACACCGGUGGCGAAGGCGGGUCUCUGGGCCGUAACUGACGCUGGAGGAGCGAAAGCGUGGGGAGCGAACAGG
rnacentral:rRNA from 1 species